UUUGAAGCUCUUGCAUUUCAGGAAAGUUGCAUUUGCCAGUGACAUUCCUCUCCUAAGGAAGUUUCUGUCAUUUGUCCAUUUACCUUGUAUAGUCUUUAAGCUUUUAUAGUAUCUCUCCUAAGGAAGUUUCUUUCAUUUGUCUGUUUACCUUGUACAGUCUUUAAGCUUUCUUAUCGUCUAGUGAUGGUUUAUUUUCUAGUUCAUUUUGCUGAACAUUGGAUCGAUUGAAUUACUAGACAAACAAACAAUAAGAUAAAUAAUUAAAAAUGUUGACAUCAUUUUAAUGCUCUGAUGUUAUUCUUACAGCUGAAAUUCUUCAAAGUUCCUACAUGUUGCCUAGUUCUUUUAGUGGUCUGUGCUGCUUUGUAACAGAUCUGUGUCAGACCAUAAAUGUCAAAAAUAUAUUCAGCUUUUGUCUGUUUCUCCUUGGUCUUCCAAACAAAUUGAGGUGUACCCUUGUGUCAAAGUCGUGGAUUUCGUGACAACUCAGCUGAUCAUGAGAGACAAGCAGAGUAUCCAAGUGACCAGCAAGAUCUGGAUAACAUUUCAUGCACAGUUUGAUGCUGCACAUCAAUCUCUUGUUAGACACUUAUUUCUGCACUUCUGUCUUAUUCUUCUACUGCUCUCUUUCCUUCUAAUUGUUUAUCAAGGUAGCUUGUAAACUGCAAUUUAUCAAACUGGCAUUCUGGUAUCUGGGCCAUAGUUUGGUUUGGCUUCAUCUCUUUUCAAAAUUCAUGUUGCAUUUAUCAGUGUGACGUAUGCAGCCUCUACAUUAUCCUUUUUAUGCCCUGCACUCGGACUUGUAUUUGGUUAUAGUGUUUUAGAAGAACAUAACCCUCUGUAAAUUUGAUUUGUUUCUUCUUUUACUGUAUAUGCACUGAUUGCUAAUAUCCCGUUACCAGGUUUACAGAAGAAACUCAGCCAGGACUUGUAGCACUCAAAGAUGCAGCAAAGAAGCUGCUCGAGCUAGGCCUCGUCUUCAGACCGAUAGAAAAUGCAAUAAAAGACUCUCAAGAGAGCCUGAUAGCAAAGGGCUACCUUGCUCCACCUACCCAAUAAAUCCAAUGCUGUUGAUCUUUUCCAUUAUGGUCAUGGAAUUAACCUUGUUUCAUAAAUUGUUAAUACCAGUGACUAAGAUCUUUGUUCUAAAAAAUAAAUUUGGUGUAGUUCUUAUUUCAACUUGGAAUUCUGUUUUGCAUGCUUGACUUGCCAUUGGAUUGGCACAAAAUGUCCUCCAAAGCUCGAGAGUAUUUUGUAUCUGAGUUUCACUCAGCUGAUGAUAGCAAUGACUUGGAAGGGUAUUUUGGAACUGAGAAGGAUGGUUAUUUGCUUGUGAGGUGAUGUGAAGUGGGAAAUCUGGAGAAAAUUAAUUUAAAAGGUUUUCAUUUCAUCUCUUUGUUAUCAUUUUUUGGAUUUUGAUAACUCCUAACACAACUCCAAAUAAACUAAGCUAAGCGUAGGAACAAUUGGCAAUUGUUUCUGUUAAUCUGCCUAAUGUAAGCAACUUAUUGUUCAGAGUUAUCAGAGCAAAAAGAAAGAAUAGGGAGAGGGAGAAGAGGCGAAGGAAAUGAAAGGAAUUAGAAAGAGAAUAGGAAAGAGAAGUUUGGAGUAAAGAGGGGAGUAGAGACUGACAGAAGUAAAAAAACAAGAAAAUAUAAUUUAUUAUAACUGAACCUGCAGUAAAAUUACAAGCUUCGAUGAUCAAUUCCAUUCAAAUAACUAUGGGUACAACUCAAGCAAUCAUUUUUUCCAUUUCCUCUUCUUUGAAUUCUGAGGUUGUCAGAAGUUAUAUGUCAAGGUUUAGCAUUCAUCAGUAAUUUUCAAGCAUUGCUUAGAACUCAAGCAUUUUAUAGCUGUAUCUAAACUUGGUUAAAUCAGAGGUAAACUUCACAUUUUGAUACUACUUUGUGUGUUCCUUCUCAAGUAAACUCAGCUUACCAAUGUUCCAGGCGUAGUAGAUUACACAACCAGGAGCACUUGCAGUAAUGUAUCAAACACAGCAGAGGAUGCAACAUUAUAAGUAGCUUUAUUUUCAUACUUGUUCUCCUUCCAAAGUAAAUCCAGCAACAGAGAGAUCCUUAGGAUGGAGAAGGCGCAUCGGGCUGCCGCUGAGGGAGGGCAGCUUGGAAGGCAGGCAGUUCGUUGUAUGCAUCGUUCAAUCUGGCUAGUGUAGGGUAAAGAGACUGCAUUCAUGAUAAAGAGAAGAUAUAAAGAGUCGAUGGAUGAACAUGUAAGCUAUGAAGCAGCUUUCAGCCGAAAAGAAAAAUACUGAAUUCAAUGUCGAAAGUUAUUCAGGAAGAGAGUGCUUGAGAUUCAUAUUUCAGGACUCAUCCCAUUAGUUUUUCACCUCUGAUGUCUCUUUGUCAUGCCAAAAAGAUUUAUAGAAGGAUGUUUUUGGUUAAAAACUCAUUUUAACCUACGGGACUGUGAAACCAAGAGAGAGACUUGAGAGGAAAUGUUAUGAGCCAAGUUGGACAAAAUCUGAGAUUUGAGUUAUUGGAUCAUGCAAAUUUUGUUGCUUAGGUGGUAGUUCUUGUCUGUUAUGAAAAAAAGGACAUAUAAAUGGUUUCAAAACCUCGCAGUUAGAUUGAAUAAGGUUAAAUGUAAUGCCUGAAAGCAAAAGGAAGAAGAGGAUGAGGAGAUCUGAUGGAUUUCCAUUAACUUUGAUAAAAAAUUUCAAUAUUUUAUUAAAGCAAAAGAACUUAUGCAACAUAUAAUACCAUGUCAAUUUGGAAGCGCACUAAUCCUGCAUAGAUCUGGGGUGCCAGAAACACGUCUGCCUGCGCAUGACAACAAUAAAGUGAAAUUACUUUAGUUUAAUUUGGAAAACCUGAGAACAAUUACAGUUGCAAGCACAUGAACCGUGAUUCAACCCUGCAAUAUGCUAAAUUACAGGACAAAGAACGGCUUGUCUCUGGAUUCAGAUAUGCUAGGGACAUAAGGACAUAAAUCGUCAAAACAUCACUAUUGCUUAUGAUCAGGCAAGCAGAUCUAUGCCAACCGCUGUAGAAGAACUCAGCUGGUUCUAACUUCCAACCACAUGGACUCGACAAUUGACAAUCAUUAGUGAACACAAUGCAGACACUUACGAAGAAAAGGAACAAGUAUAGCACAAAAAGUAGUUGCUCAGAAUGCAUUUUUAUGCUUCCAUGUAUGCAUUUUAAACAUAAAAGCAAGAAAAGAAAAUUCACUUAAAACCUAAAAAGAUUCCAGAAAAUUACUAAAAACAUGGAACAAAACACCAAAAUGACAACACAUAAAGCAGCAAAUUAAUUGGCUAUAAUUAUUUUUAUCGCAAGGCUACUGUUGGACUAACCAGCUGGACCUCAUCCCCGGUAGCAUAUUUGCCAGCAUGCUCCUUUAAGAGUUUCUCAAGUGCUGAAGACGAACAAACAAUCAAACUUAAGAAUAGUUUACAGAGAAACUAAGAACACUGUCAGAAUAAAAAUUCAACUAACUGACACUUUCAUUAUCAUGCGACUGCAGGAACAUCAAGCAUUAGGUGUUUGAGUGGCAAUAAUUGCAAUUGGUGGGGCUGAUGAGUCAGACACUAGUAUGAAUGCAGUUGUAAUGCUCCUAGGGUAGGUAGCAGCACUAGUAUAAGGCAACCAAUCUCAUCCCCUAAGAGGCACUAGGUGUUUCCUCAACUUAUUCAAUAGUAGACAAACAUCAAAUAUCAGUGAUAUUGACCCUAUAGGCACUAAAAUAAUGCAGGGUCCACAAUGCCUCUUUAUAAGAGAAGAAGAUGGAUACUGAUCUAGCAUAUUUUGGUGAAAUUCAAUUUCAAUCGCAUCCCUCUUGAAACAAUUUGGGACACUUAUUAUAGACUUGUGAUAUCCACCAUCUAGAAAGUUUUACAAUGGUUUUGGGAUUUCUAUUUGAGAUUAUGGGGAGGCAUCUUUAAUGAUGAGAUCAAGAAAAUUCAUACAUGGACAAAGUCUUUUAAAGAGUAGUAAAACCUCUACGAUAUGAUCCUUGUGUAUAACAGCUUGUUGAAACCUGCUAGGAUGAACACUGAUUUUUUGGUGUAUAACAUGAGGGUCAUCUUUCACAGGUCCUUUAAUGUGUUAGAUCAGGUUCAUCACGUGAAUUAGAUUUGAGGGAGGCAGUAAUAGAUGAGAGUGGGGAAUGCAAAAUAGUUUAAGCGGUGACUGGUAAUGACCAAUUUUAGGGAAGCAAAUGAACAACUGAUUGAAAACAUGACUUUGUAGGCAUUACGUAUAGCACAAUGUAUCGAUUUAAUGAUAUAUUGGUUAUAUCUCACUGAUGAAUGGGAUAGUGGGAGAGGCAUGGUUUGAAGUCUCGUGUCCUAGACCCAGACUAGCCACCGGCUGGAUUGAUACAGGUCAGGUUUGUACCAUCAUGCCAAAACAUUGGAUGCCUGUACAUGUCGUGGUACUGAGAAGGGUGGGAGAAGGAGAAGGAGAAGAAGAAGAUGAGGAGGAGAUAAAGCAGGAGAAGGAGAGGAGGAGAAAGAGAAGAGGAGGCAAAGGAAGAGGCAGAGGAGAAGUGCAGGAGGAUGAAGAAGAGGUGGAAGAGGGGUAUUAGUUUGAUAAGCAGGGAGGCAAGCCGGCAGCGGGGCACAAGUGUUAGGGCUUAGGGCUAUCAAUCGAGUGAGUGAGAGAGCGUCUGACCAGUCGGCUUAAGGCAUGGGCUUAACUUUUGAUUAUGAUUUCUCAUUUCCAUUGGUUCUUUGCAUGUAGCUGACUGACCAUUUGGUUGUGCAAAGCACCACAGCGACUGGUAACUAGCAUUGGUUUGCAAAGAUAGUCCAUAAACAGAUUAACAUAUUCUAGGAAACCACCAGUAAUAAAACCUAUUAUCUAAUACGGAAGGCAUUAAUUGCGGAGUAAAAAACAACCUGCAAAUCCUUUAUUAAUAUGAUUUUGUGCCCAUGUAAGUUUCUCAUCAGCGUUAAAUUUGUUCUCAAUAAAUUGCUGCAAAUUCACAAGCAGGAAACAACAAGUAUUAUUAUUAGAGUUUUCGAAGAUGAAUAGCAUAUAUCUUACAAAACAAUGAAAUUUUGAAAAAGUAGGAACAGCUUUUCAUUUACCAGUACAGGAAGAUUCUGAAGAGGUUGAAUACUCGAGCCGACUAUACUUGCUGCCUGUAAAAACAAAUGGCCGCAAUAGCCAUUGAGAUUUGCUAGAACUGAAAAUAAUGUAACUUUGAACAAUAACUAAGAGCAGAAGAUAAUCCAAACUGUUUUUGUGUCUGAAGAGUUCAUGGGGCCAGGACCGAGGCUAAUCUUUCACAGAAAAAAUGCACAUGAGAUAUACCAAGAUGAUGAAUGUGAAGUACAAAACUAAUGUCAUCCUGUCGAAACAAGGAUUGUGUAAUGAGAUGUGCAUAAAGAGAUUCCAUAUGAAAUUGGAAAUCAUGAAAGAAUGAAACAGAAGAAUAAUAAGAAGGAUUAUACUAAGUUCCUCUAAGCUAUAUGUUAUGAUACUAUAACUCAAACAAACCAUUAAUAUCUAGUAUUCAACAUGAACUGCAAAAUUUUAUUUUGUAAGUAUAGGAUAUCUCACUAGAAUACAGUGGGAAAGGGUAACAUAUACCAACUAGACACCUAACCGCACCACGAAAGGGUAUCAUCUACCUAGGAAGUUCACCUGGAGAUUGAGUGCUUUCUUUUUUGGGUCUUGAGGGAGCAGGGGAUGCUGAGGGUACUUGUCUUCCAAAUACUGCACAAACCAAUGCAACACCUUCAAUUAGCAGAUGCGAGGACCAAAACAAACAUCACCCAAGAAUCAGGCUCCAACGGGUUCAGCCAUAAAACAAAUAACGGGAAAAAACAUCUUUUGCUCACCAAUAUGAUUGCAAACGAGUCACCAAUUACCGUGUCCCCGUCUACAAGCGCCGGAACAUACUUCAUCGGGUUGAGCUUCUCAAAUUCUGGAUUCAACAAGAACAAUCAGUGCAAGAAGCGCGGGGGAAAGAAUAAAUAAGCAAUUUUGGUUACGCAAUAAUUGUUGCCGAAUCCAAAGAAGGUAUUCGCUCUCCGACCUGGAUCGAAAUGAUCGCCCUUCAAAAGAUUCACAGCCUUGUACUCGUACUCCAACCCUUUCAUUACACAUAAAUCAGAAAACGAGACCGACGGCGUCGAAUUCAACAACCAAAGAAUAAAACAACAGUUAAGAUUUCAGCGCGAUCGACGCGUCACGCUAGAAACCCUUGAAGGAAGAACCUUUGAUAUUAAGGGCGAUGCGGACCCGCUGCGAGCACGAGCUCCGCCAGUAGGAAUACAGCGUGAGCUUCGCCGGCUCCGCCAUCUCCUAAAAGAUCAACCAAAGAAACGCGAGACAGAGAUAGAGAGGGACGAUGAUGAUGACUGACGAUGAUUCGGAGGAGACACGAAGACUCGCUCACGCCGGCCGAUGUAUUGGUUAAAAGAUAUGUUUCAGCAACGUCAACUCGAUAGCAGCAAAUCGACGACUUUGCCUACGACUUCGGCCACGACCACGGAAUUCAUGAGUGGGUAAGGUUGGAUUCGCUUAUGGGGAUUUGACAUAAACCUAUAUAUAUAUAUAUAUAUACAUAUAUUAAAAUGAUAUAUAAAUAUAGGCUUUAAGAAGUUCGACUGUAUAUAGGUCCGCUUAUGGGCGAAGGUUAACCCAAUUGGAAGAGGUGGAGGGGGUCGGCAAAGAGGAUCGGUGUCGAGGGAAGGAGAGAGGAGAGAGAGCGGAGAGCGGAGAAGAGGGGAUGGCGAAACCGUUGGGAUCGACGGGGGAGUUCUUCCGGCGGAGGGAUGAGUGGCGGAAGCACCCGAUGCUCGCCAACAACCUCCGCCACGCCACUCCGGGCCUUGGCAUCGCCCUUGUCGCCUUCGGCAUCUACCUCGCCGGCGAGGCCGCCUACAACCACUUCCGCCGCCCUGAUGAUCACCCCACCACCCACCACUGAUCGUGGAACCCGUGGAUGAUGCUCGAUUCCCACUGAUUCCUUGAAGGUCCCCUCGCUUUCUUCCCUUCCGUUUCCUAAAGAUCCGGUUUUGUGCGAGAGAUUUGUUGUUUAUUGGUUUGUUGAUAGCUCUUAAUAUCGAUUCUUUUCGAAUUUGAUUCACUGACCAGGAUUUUCUUGUCUUUUUAGGUUUUAGGUGAUUCUUAUUGAUCGAUCGUGGAUUUUGUUUACGUCGACUUCGUUUCUUGAGCUGCCAUGUUGUGUUUGUUUGGUGCCUGAUUUGUCUGUAGCUAAUGCUGCAAUCAGAGGGCAACCAGAAAUGAUAAGUUCAAGAGUAAUUCGAGACGAAAUGUUGUCUUUUGGAUGAAUUGGUUCUUCAAGUGGACUUUCAAAUGUAUGACUGGAAUGAGCGUUUGAGCUCUGAAGGUUGUCUGAUCUGAUCCUUGUGGUUAUGACUUAACGAGUAAUAUUAAAUUUUAUCGGUGGUUAGUUUUUGGUAAAUAUGGUGGCCAGUUUCAUUUGUCAUUGGAAAGAAUAUGUUGGAUGUGAAUAUUAUCUUUUGUAUAGAUUUCACAUUUACUCAAUAUCUGGGUCUCUGAUAAGUCACCAAAUUAUAACAUAUGUUUCUGUGUGAUACCACACUUUUAAGAAAACCAACAUGCUUGUUGGAUUUUGUUCAUGUAAUAACUUGUAUUACCAUUCAACAUGAAAUCAAUAGUAUGUCCAAAGUAAUGUCUUUCAGGAAAUGUUAUUUAGUUUUAGAGUACCAUCAAGAAAAUUCCAAAGAGUGAGCCUUGGAACAUUGGUGAUAUUGCUUCUUUGGUUUUAGUGAUAAGGUUGUGUACAUUGACUUGCGUAUUGAGUCACCCUUUUUCAAUCAAGAAACAUUAAGCUACUUGAUGUGGGUUACAUGCCAUAACUGAAUAAUUGUGCAUGUAUGAUCACGGGAGAUCUAGAGUUUAUUUCUCUUAAUUUGUUGGUGAGUAUGUGUUUCAGGUGUUUUCUGUUGACCCACCCUUCUUGUUCCAGUACUGAUGGUAGAUGUGGUCGUAGAGCUCAGUAAAACAUUUGGAAGAUCCUUAAAAUAUUCAGAUCAUACCUCUUUCUUUUUGCUGCUUUUACUUUGUAAUUCCUUGCAGACCAUCUGCUAGUUAUAGAUGAAGUACACCAUCUGAAUAUACAGAUCCUUUGCAACUAUCCUUUGCCUGCUGAACGUACCAAAUUGAACAAUAAAAAAUCAGAGAAUCCUCCGUCCACUUUCGACUCAAUUUGGACUUGAAUUGGAAAAUAUAAAUUCCAAUAUGAGGGUUUAUCGUAUCGGGUUGUUUGUAAGCCACCCUGUCAAAAGCAUCCUUGCUAGGAUGUGGAAAUGGCAAAUAAAUCUUGGUCAUCAACAUCUUGAGAAUUUCUUUGUUUGGUAGAUUCUCAUUUAAGCAUGAUCAUUUCCCUUAGAAAUGUGUUUUAUGCCUUAUGCCUUUGCAUCAGUUCCCAGAGACCAUGGUCCCUGGUGUGCCAUUGACCUUUUACAAAUUUGAUUCAUUUUCUGAAGAUAUUUGUGUUUUGCUGUUGGAAAAAUCUGUGAAAGUGCAGAAGUUUAGGUAUCGUUAGAAGAACCUUCAUUGGGAUGUUAUAGUGUUUCUUAUUGGGGUUCCAAUUAUGGGUGUAAAACUAUGAGUUACCUGACCCCACAACAAAUCUUACUUUAAGUUCUGCUACUAUUCUUUUAAGAUCUGAUCUUCACCAGGAACAUGUCAUCCUGUGGUUAUUUUUCUGUUUUUCAUUUUAUAUUGAGAUCUGUUUUUAUUCUUGAUUAUGUUAAAAUAUAUUGGUUCUGUAGUCGAUCUGGAAUAAGCUGGUUUAGUUAUCUCCAAGAUUGCUAUUGUAUCUGAGGGUGAAUAUCAUUGCAAUCUCAUAGGGGGUCUGAGGGUGGUGCAAAAGUAUGUCUGAAUUUUCCAACACUGGAUGAUACAAUUAAUUGAUGACUUGAAUUAUGGUCAUUUAUGGUGACAUAGUCCUAAGAUGAUAGACCAGUUUAGAGUAGAAAAAGUCGAAAGUUCUAAGAGCAAGAAAAGAGAAGAGAUCAACAAGAAGGGAAGAGGGAAUCCUCAACCAAGGAUAUUUAAGAAUUCAUCGACUUUUACUCACAAAUUUAUUUGUUUCUUGUAGACAUCUACAUAAAGGUCACUUAUACUUCAGUGUUAAAGGAUUGGACUCAUAAUGACCCUAAAACUAGUUGACACUAUUGUCUCAGAAGAUGACUUUCAAUCACCUUUUAACAGCAUAACAAAAUCAUCAUAAAAAGUUAAAAACUAAUAAGACUAAGUAAGUAAUUAUAGGUAGGACAUUUCUGGACUAGGCUGGUUUGAUUUGAAAUAUGACUCAAAUGACCUUUUGAAAACCUAUUUACAUCAUCAGUAUCAUGAUGAGGUUGCUCUUUUGUGGUGUAGGUGACCAUGGUUCAAGUUAUCUAGAGGAUCACAUGAAUUAAGGUGUGACUAUCCCCCUCCUACAUCAUUCACAUGUUGGUUAUUUUAGUACAUAUAAAUGUGUUUUUAUAAUUUACAGGUAGGAGUUAAAUCCGAUGCCAUCAACUUGUGUCUCUCACUAAUGCGGCAUUGUAUCGAAAUCCGUGAUACCAGAAGCAGUAGUAAGAAUCCUCUUAAGCUUCAGGCAUUGACUACUUUAAUGGAUCAUGUGAUCUCUCUCUCGAAUCCUUUGAGAAGCACUAGACAAAUUGUGCAUCACAACAGUCAGUACCUGUUUCUUCUGGGGGCGACAAAAAAUGUUGGAGAAAAUACAGGGAAGCAAAACCAAUUGACCAGAUUACCUCUAGAUCACAGAAUGAUGGGAAUGUUUUAGGAUGGAAACUUCUGCGAUAAAGGCCUUUCCCAUUUCUCAGUGUGCCACAGUAGGCCAUAAGAGCCGCCGCUGGAUGUGCAGUCACUUUGAUACACCAUUGAAUAUAUGCAUUCAAUGUGGUGUUCAGGAUCAUGUAUCCACCACCUUGUUGAUCACACUUCCCCAUCUGAAUCCAGCCAGUCCCAAUAGAAAUUGGUACACAGUCUUGCUUUUGCUAGCAGAAUCACUGGAAUCAAGAUUCAUCUCAUGUUUCUGAACUAAACCCAUUACCAAGUGUUCCUGUUCCAUAACUUUUACGAUUUACCAGUGGUAAUCGUAAUGGCUGAAAUCAUUAGUUUCAUGGUUUUAUUUACACAUUUGAUUUUUGUUGUUUUAUCUUAUUGUUCAAGUUUUCCUUUACUGUGGAUUUUGCCCCCUUACGUUUUUGUUUUCGUUAUUUAUUUCAGAUAAAUGCUUGACAGUUUGAUGAUGCACAUCAAUCUCUUGUCAGACAUUUAUUUCUGCACUUCUGUCUUAUUCUUUUACUGCUCUCUUUCCUUCUAAUUGUUUAUCAAGGUAGCUUGUAAACUGCAAUCUAUCAAACUGGCAUUCUGGUAUCUGGGCCAUAGUUUGGUUUGGCUUCAUCUCUUUUCAAAAGUCAUGUUGCAUUUAUCAGCCUCUACAUUAUCCUUUUUAUGCCCUGCACUCGGACUUGUAUUUGGUUAUAGUGUUUUAGAAGAACUUAACCCUCUGUAAAUUUGAUUUGUUCCUUCUUUUUCUGUAUAUGCACUGAUUGCUAAUAUCCCGUUACCAGGUUUACAGAAGAAACUCAGCCAGGACUUGUAGCACUCAAAGAUGCAGCAAAGAAGCUGCUCGACCUCGGCCUCGUCUUCAGACCGAUAGAAAAUGCAAUAAAAGACUCUCGAGAGCCUGAUAGCAAAGGGCUACCUUGCUCCACCUACCCGAUAAAUCCAAUUCUGUUGAUCUUUACCAUUAUGGUCAUGGAAUUAACCGUGUUUCAUAAAUUGUUAGUACCAGUGACUAAGAUCUUUGUUCUGAAAAAAUAAAUUUGGUGUAGUUCUUAUUUCAACUUGGAAUUCUGUUUUGCAUGCUUGACUUGCCAUUAGAUUGGCACAAAAUGUCCUCCAGAGCUCGAGAGUAUUUUAUAUCUCGAGUUUCACUCAGCUGAUGAUAGCAAUGACUUCGAUGGGUAUUUUGGAACUGAGAAAAUUAAU
rnacentral:lncRNA from 1 species